CCCUGCGAGAAAAAUACCAGCAGCUGAGCAACUGAGGGGUGAAAAGAGAUGUAACUCCCAGGACAAGAUAACAAAAUGUAACAAAUGCUUUACAUGUACACUACUGAUAAAAAAAGUUUCAAUUAAG